UACGUAGGUGGCAAGCGUUGUCCGGAUUUACUGGGCGUAAAGGAUGCGUAGGCGGACAUUUAAGUCAGAUGUGAAAUACCCGAGCUUAACUUGGGUGCUGCAUUUGAAACUGGGUGUCUAGAGUGCAGGAGAGGUAAGUGGAAUUCCUAGUGUAGCGGUGAAAUGCGUAGAGAUUAGGAAGAACACCAGUGGCGAAGGCGACUUACUGGACCGUAACUGACGCUGAGGCAUGAAAGCGUGGGGAGCAAACAGG
rnacentral:rRNA from 1 species